UAGAGUUUGAUCAUGGCUCAGAUUGAACGCUGGCGGCAGGCCUAACACAUGCAAGUCGAGCGGUAGAGAGAAGCUUGCUUCUCUUGAGAGCGGCGGACGGGUGAGUAAUGCCUAGGAAUCUGCCUGGUAGUGGGGGAUAACGUUCGGAAACGGACGCUAAUACCGCAUACGUCCUACGGGAGAAAGCAGGGGACCUUCGGGCCUUGCGCUAUCAGAUGAGCCUAGGUCGGAUUAGCUAGUUGGUGGGGUAAUGGCUCACCAAGGCGACGAUCCGUAACUGGUCUGAGAGGAUGAUCAGUCACACUGGAACUGAGACACGGUCCAGACUCCUACGGGAGGCAGCAGUGGGGAAUAUUGGACAAUGGGCGAAAGCCUGAUCCAGCCAUGCCGCGUGUGUGAAGAAGGUCUUCGGAUUGUAAAGCACUUUAAGUUGGGAGGAAGGAUUGUAGAUUAAUACUCUGCAAUUUUGACGUUACCGACAGAAUAAGCACCGGCUAACUCUGUGCCAGCAGCCGCGGUAAUACAGAGGGUGCAAGCGUUAAUCGGAAUUACUGGGCGUAAAGCGCGCGUAGGUGGUUUGUUAAGUUGGAUGUGAAAUCCCCGGGCUCAACCUGGGAACUGCAUUCAAAACUGACUGACUAGAGUAUGGUAGAGGGUGGUGGAAUUUCCUGUGUAGCGGUGAAAUGCGUAGAUAUAGGAAGGAACACCAGUGGCGAAGGCGACCACCUGGACUAAUACUA
rnacentral:rRNA from 1 species